UAAUAAAACAUUUUAUGUAGUGAGAACUUGCGAAGGUUUCAAUGUAAUACCAAUGUCACGCUGUUAACUAAAGUUGUAAAUUGCAUUGGCAUCACUAUUGUUUUUAGGUGACUCAAAAAUGCUCAUUGAGUUUUGUUUUUAUAUAGUGGCUCCACAAAGGUUUACAAAGAAUUGUACUCAUUACACUAUGAUAGGUAUUAGGAAGGCUACACUAUGAUAGGUAUUAGGAAGGCUACACUAUGAUAAGUAUUAGGAAGGAUUUUUUUUUUAGACAAACUCAGAAAUGGUACUAUAUAUGGUUUACCUUCUGAGAAUCCCAAGAAACUCAAAUAAUAGAAACGUAGCCAAAGCCACAUGCAGACAUUUGCUGGAAUUAAAUCCUUGACUGCUUGUGUGUUUGGUGUGGGGAGGUUAUAUUCAAAAUCAGGUUGUCUGAUAUUACCUAGGAUGAUCCAUUCUUUUUAUGUAUUUUUUUCAAACCAAAAUUAGUAUGGAAGGACUUUGGAAUUGAAAGAAACAGGGUUCAAACCUGCUUCUUAUGGAAUUACCCCCCCAAAACUCAGGCUUGAUUUCUUUGAAAUAAAGAACACACUGAAUGGUUUUUCCUCUCCAUUUCUUGAGGCUCUCACAAUUGUUUGUGGAUAACAGGAAUCAACUGAUCUCUUCUGAACUGCAUGUAAUGAGCCAAUUUUUCUUGGUUUAUUUCUACAACUUAGGUAUUUGGCUAGAUUUGAACUAAAUUCUUUUUCACCUUCCUUUCCCUGCAUUUUCAUUGGUGGUUCUGUUUGUAUCCCUCAAUGUUACAUAAGUAUAUGAUCAAUAAACAAGAAACUUCUAACAUUGCUUAAAGGAUGUAAUAUUUACUUAAUGUUUCUGAUUGACUUUUCUUUGGAUAUACUCAUUCCUAAACAUUUUAUUGUGUGCUGCAAAUGGGAAGGAAGGAUUAGUAAUUUUUCUCAUUUUUUCAAGAACAUAUUGAAGUUAAAUUGAACAAAAGUUUGCUGUAAAAGUCACAAAAAGAUACAUAUAGACAUUUUACUGUAAACUGUGAGGAAUCUUUAUGCAAAACAAAGAUUUGUCUACUUAGAGUUUCAUCUUGGGCUAACAGAUUUGCUUCAUGACACUUUUCAGUCCUCCUGAUAAUUGACAGUUGUCACAUUGAAAUUUGUUUUUUUUAUUUUUUUAUUUUGCAGAUUUAGUGACGGGCUUAACUUUCUUUCUAACUAUAAGUGGAGUGGAAAACAUGCUUACCAAUGUUUAAAAAUGGUAAUUUGUGGGGAUUCUGGUGAUUCCUGCCAAAGAAAAGUGUGUAUGGCUUUGUACUCUCAGGCCUAUUUGUUCAUAUACUGUACUUUCAUUCUUCUGAUAAUGACAUAGGCAGUAGAAGUGAAGAAAGGUUCUGUAAACUGAAGCAAAUAAUUUUAACAAUACAAUUGACCUUUUAAGGCAAGGAAAACAACUAUAACCUUCAAAGUUUAACAUUUUUUUGGUGCAUAAUUGUAGUUUGUUCACAGUCUCUUAAGGUUAUAUUAAAAAUCAGCGUUAUUGGACUUCAAGCAUAAACUUUAUUAAUGGUGCUAAAUUCCUCAAAUAGAGUUUUAAGAAUGAGUAACGUUCGGAUUUGUCUUAGUUUUCUGCAUUUAUUGUAUCAUUGUACCGUGUCUUCAGAGUUACUGUACGGUCAUAAUGUUGCUUUAACCUUUAAACUUUAGAUAAGCUAAAUGACACAGUCAUUCACGGUCCAGAUACUUGACAGAUAUAGUACAUAUACUAAUUGUUUUAAAGAUUGUCUUGCAUAUGGCAUAGACUCUAUUUUCUGUCCCUAACCCAUUUGAUCCCAGCAGGAGGGGGUUCACAAUCCACUGUGGUAUAGUAUCGCUGGAAAAAAAUUUCCAUAGUCAUCUAGCUACUCUUCUUGAUAAUCCUUUCCAGGAGAGAAACAUUUUUAUUAAGUUGCAGCAGCAGCCAUUACAGACCAGGGAAUGUGGACCUGAUUCUUCUGUUGAUGUAAUGGAGGGGUAUUAAUGUGAUCAAUGCCACUAUUCUCUUGACCACAGCUGCUGUAUCAUUUAUCGCUUUUUAUCAUUUAUGAGGGCUAUAAACUGGACUUGGGCUUGAACUGACUUGACUCUUUCAGCACUUUAUUUAGGAGGUUUCUUGUGUCACUAAAUUUACUGUUGGGACCUUCUUUGGUUCUAAGGUUCUGAAGAGGCUGGUAAAAACUUUCUUACUAACCCUUUUUUAGCAAGUCUCUCUUGUGAGCUGUCACCCUCCCAAUGGUUUUCCUCAUAGACUUUGCCUCUUCAAAGCAUUAUGGAGAAACUCACACUCUGGUAAGGUAACUCAAAGAACAGGGUAAUACUCUGUAAGCUUUCUGCUCACUCACAUUUUAUGGUAAAGAUGGACAACUAGUAACCAGGAUUUUAAUGCUCAUCCUUUCACAGUUCAUACCCAUCUUCACUCACUGAUAGUGAGGAUUGUUUACUCUGCCCUGUGAGAAUUGUCUCAAGAUCCAUAUUCGGGUCACCAAGAACUUCAGGAACAACUCCAAAAUGUCUCCUGUUAAACAGAUCUGAAGAACACAUUCUCCUCUAGACUGAAGCUGAUGAUCUCAGUGGUGUACUUGUGGGAGAGGAGUUUGGGUACUCCUCUUCAUCACCACUCCUCAUUCAUGGCACUGUCAAGAGACACAUAUUCAGGGUUACCAGUUACUGUAGCUCAUAUUAGUGGUAGGUGCUCUUAAUUUUCUAAUCUUGAAAGAGCCUCUUCUAUUUUAUACUAAUAUGGUUCUGUUUGUACCCUGUACAAACCUCUGGGGUACCAGGGACUUUAUUCUGAUCCCUUGGAAUAGAGUUUUGUCAACCUCCUUCCUAAAUAAAGGUUCAUGUGUAUAUGAGUAAUGGAAUUUGAUGAAAAACUAUUUAUUUAAUACAGUUUUUUAUAUAAAUCCAUUAAUUGUGUAGUGAGUAUCCUCUCUUCUUCUUGGUAUCAAUUCACAUAUGGCCACUUGAAAAGCAAGCUUGGAUUCCUCACGUACCUGUAACUACUGACAUUAGAUUGCCACCUCCUGUCUGACAGACACAAGGGUGAACCAUGGACUAUUAGGACACAAAAAUAAAGCAUCUACAUGAUCAUUGAGUCAUAAUGUUGACAUUAAAACAUAGUUUUGUCUUUUGAUUGAUUGAGUUACAACUUUUCUUUUAAUACAAUUCCACCAAGUAUUUCUAGAACUGUUUUAAUUCAUGUAUAUAACCUCAUUUAUGAGUUUUUGGAUGAAACAAAGCUAAUGAAUACUUUCAGUACUGUCCAGAAAUCAUGUAAAAAUGUAAAAUAGAAAAUAAUGGGUUACUUUUUUCUUAAAAAAUCUCCAGAUUUCCUAUGUUGGUGACGUCGAAAAUUUUUUUUAUUGCUAGAUAAUUCUUGAAUACUCAAGUUUGUUGUAGUAGGCAAGAGGAUAAACCUGUAAACAAAUGUAAAUUGUAUUGGGACAUUUCCUUUUGUUGUAAAAGCAGUGCCGGUGAUAAUAUAAGUAUGAAGCAAC